rnacentral:rRNA from 1 species
CCUACGGGAGGCAGCAGUGGGGAAUAUUGGACAAUGGGCGAAAGCCUGAUCCAGCAAUUCCGCGUGUGUGAAGAAGGCCUUCGGGUUGUAAAGCACUUUAGUGGGGGAAGAAACAGCUUGGCCACACCAAGCCUUGACGGUACCCCAAGAAUAAGCACCGGCUAACUCUGUGCCAGCAGCCGCGGUAAUACAGAGGGUGCAAGCGUUAAUCGGAUUUACUGGGCGUAAAGGGUGCGUAGGUGGCUAUUUAAGUCGGAUGUGAAAGCCCGGGGCUCAACCUCGGAAUUGCAUUCGAUACUGAGUGGCUAGAGUUCGGUAGAGGGCGGCGGAAUUUCCGGUGUAGCGGUGAAAUGCGUAGAUAUCGGAAGGAACAUCAAUGGCGAAGGCAGCCGCCUGGGCCUGGACUGACACUGAGGCACGAAAGCGUGGGUAGCAAACAGGAUUAGAUACCCUGGUAGUCCACGCCGUAAACGAUGAGAACUUGACGUUGGUUCGUUUUACGAAUCGGUGUCGCAGCUACGACGAUAAGUUACGUCCGCCGUCGGGUAGGUACGGCCGGCCGAAGGUUAGUAAACGUACAAAUAGAAGUUAGUACGGCGUGAGACGUGCCGAACGGACGACGACGAGGGAGGUAGG